rnacentral:rRNA from 1 species
CCUACGGGUGGCAGCAGUGGGGAAUAUUGCGCAAUGGGCGAAAGCCUGACGCAGCGACGCCGCGUGAGGGAUGAAGGUCUUCGGAUCGUAAACCUCUGUCAGCAGGGAAGAACGGUCACUGUGCUAAUCAGCAGUGAAUUGACGGUACCUGAAGAAGAAGCCCCGGCUAACUACGUGCCAGCAGCCGCGGUAAUACGUAGGGGGCAAGCGUUAUCCGGAUUUACUGGGUGUAAAGGGGGCGCAGACGGCGAUGCAAGCCAGGAGUGAAAGCCCGGGGCCCAACCCCGGGACUGCUCUUGGAACUGCGUGGCUAGAGUGCAGGAGGGGCAGGCGGAAUUCCUGGUGUAGCGGUGAAAUGCGUAGAUAUCAGGAGGAACACCGGUGGCGAAGGCGGCCUGCUGGACUGCAACUGACGUUGAGGCCCGAAAGCGUGGGGAGCAAACAGGAUUAGAUACCCUUGUAGUC